rnacentral:ncRNA from 1 species
CAAAAGCUUGGUCCUGACUUUACUGUCAACUUUAGCUAAAUUUAUACAUGCAAGUUUCCGCAUUCCUGUGAGAACGCCCUACAAUUUCCCGCACGGAAAUGAGGAGCUGGUAUCAGGCACAUAAUUUUAUGGCCCAUAACACCUUGCUUAGCCACACCCCCAAGGGAAUUCAGCAGUGAUAAAUAUUAAGCCAUAAGUGAAAACUUGACUUAGUUAAGGCUAAGAGGGCCGGUAAAACUCGUGCCAGCCACCGCGGUUAGACGAAAGGCCCAAGUUGAUAUUAUCCGGCGUAAAGGGUGGUUAGGACAUACUAUUAAAUAAAGCCGAACGACCUCAAAGCUGUCAUACGCCUUCGAGACCAAGAAGCCCAACUGCGAAAGUAGCUUUACUUAUUCUGAACCCACGAAAGCUGAGGAACAAACUGGGAUUAGAUACCCCACUAUGCUCAGCCCUAAACAUUGGUAGCGCAUCACAGCCGCUACCCGCCUGGGUACUACGAGCACCAGCUUAAAACCCAAAGGACUUGGCGGUGCUUUAGACCCCCCUAGAGGAGCCUGUUGUGUAACCGAUAACCCCCGUUUAACCUCACCUUUCCUUGUCCCUCCCGCCUAUAUACCGCCGUCGUCAGCUCACCCUGUGAAGGCCUAAUAGUAAGCAAAAUUAGCACAGCCCAGAACGUCAGGUCGAGGUGUAGCGCAUGGAAGGGGAACAAAUGGGCUACACUCACUAUGAUAGUGAAUACGAAUGAUAUCCUGAAACGGACAUCUGAAGGUGGAUUUAGCAGUAAAUUACGAAUAGAGAACCCUAUUGAAGCCGGCUCUAAAGCGCGCACACACCGCCCGUCACCCUCCCCGAGAUCGUAAGACUCUUUUCUAAAGCCCCUACAACAGAAAGGGGAGGCAAGUCGUAACAUGGUAAGCGUACCGGAAGGUGUGCUUGGAUAAAC